GAGACCUUACUUCAUAGGAUCAUUUCUAUAGUAAGCUCUUCGCCAGGCUAUUACAAUACCUGGCCCCGUAGACAAGAUGCCAAUCGCUACUGUC